rnacentral:tRNA from 2 species
GGGCCCGUAGCUCAGUUGGUUAGAGCUGGCGACUCAUAAUCGCUCGGUCGCAGGUUCAAGUCCUGCCGGGCCCA